AGUCACGAGUGCCAGCGCCAAACCCCGGUUCGCUGGCCGGCAACCCUCCUCCUGCGGUGGGGUGCCCCGGGUGAAGACUCGGCCCAGCGCCGGCCGGCGCGGGCAAGCACAGGAA
rnacentral:ncRNA from 1 species